UACGUAGGUGACCAGCGUUGUCCGGAUUUACUGGGCGUAAAGAGCGCGCAGGCGGUCGUUCAAGUCGAGUGUGAAAGCCCCCGGCUCAACUGGGGAGGGGCACUCGAUACUGAUCGACUUGAAGGCAGGAGAGGGAAGCGGAAUUCCCGGUGUAGUGGUGAAAUGCGUAGAUAUCGGGAGGAACACCAGUGGCGAAGGCGGCUGCCUGGCCUGUUCUUGACGCUGAGGCGCGAAAGCUAGGGGAGCAAACGGG
rnacentral:rRNA from 1 species